GCUGGGCAUGGUGGCGCAUGCCUGUAAUCCCAGCUACUUGGGAGGCUGAGGCAGGAGAAUCGCUUGAACCAGGGAGGCAGACGUUGCAGUGAGCUGAGAUUGUACCACUGCACUUCAGCCUGGGUGACAGAGCGAGACUCUGUCUCAA
rnacentral:SRP_RNA from 1 species